rnacentral:lncRNA from 1 species
CUGACAUGCCAGCUCCAGACUUCAACUAAACUGACUGAAAGAUUAUGAUUUCAUCAUAUGAACAUCAGGCACAAUCCUUCCCGUUAGGGGUUUAGUAUCAUACCAUCAUAACAUAUAUGAAAAGAACAUAACCAGUGUCAUGCCAACAACUGUUUUUAGAAUAAAUGUGUUUAGUUCCGAUGCAAAGACCUUAUCAGUGACUCAAUAUUAACGCCA